CUCCCCCGUCUCGUCUUCCCGAGGACCCCGCCGCCGCCGCCACAUGCCGAUCUCCCCCUCCAACGUCGCCUCUGCAGCUUCUCCUCCACCAUAGACUCUUAUCCGCUGCCACCUCCACCUCCGCAUCAGAUCCUGCAGAGGAAGACUGCGGCCACGAGCGGAUCUGUGAGCAGAUGAUCUGACACACGCUCCUCUCCCUCCUCCCUAACCUCUCCCAGUGUACUUGGUGGUAACCAAUGCAUGAUCUUGCACUGGUUUGAUGGCCACAUCAAACAGAGCACUGCAGUGCGUUUGGUGGAAGCAAUACAUGAUCUGAGAGAAAAAAAUGAAGUGGUGCAUAUUGUGCUGAAUCAACAUGGCAGUUUACCAGACCUUUUGAUGCUCCGCACAUAUGUUCUUUGUAUCAUGCAAGUAUGUGGUAUUGUAUGACUGUAGAAAUUCUGAAAAAUUGUAGCCCUUCUCAAUAUUGUAACCUCUGUUGCUGUGGUAGACAACUUGUGAGUGUAAGAAGUUGUAAGAACCUAUAUAUGAACAAGAUAUUUUGUUUUUUAAA